rnacentral:rRNA from 1 species
UACGUAGGGGGCAAGCGUUGUCCGGAUUUAUUGGGCGUAAAGAGCGUGUAGGCGGCCAUACAGGUCCGUUGUGAAAACUCGAGGCUCAACCUCGAGACGUCGAUGGAAACCGUAUGGCUAGAGUCCGGAAGAGGCGAGUGGAACUCCUGGUGUAGCGGUGGAAUGCGCAGAUAUCAGGAAGAACACCGACGGCGAAGGCAGCUCGCUGGGACGGUACUGACGCUGAGGCGCGAAAGCGUGGGGAGCGAACAGG